GUAGGAAUGUGGUUAACGGCCAGAUGUCUGACAGUUCUCCGACUUCUGGGCAUUCCACGUAGGACGCUUUCUCAUGAGUGUCUGAAACCGUCAGUUCACUGCCAGAAAUGGAGAUACAUGUUUCCUGAUAAACUGGCACUUGCCUUUUCAAAGCCACCAUUUCCUCUAUCCUCUGGGCUGUCACAAAUCCUCCUCUGCACCUCAGGAGUGCCCCUUGGAGCCACGUUCACCACUUCUCUGCCCCUGACCCAGGCUGGUUCCCAGGCCUUGGGGUCCUAGCGUGGACCUCCUGGAAGUAAUUAAUGCAGGUGCAGGACCAGAGAGCCCCUUGGUCCCUCCCAACACAUGAAGGAAGUUUCUGUAGUGAGGUCACGAACAGUGUCUGUGUUUCUGCUGUAAAUAGGGCUUUCUUGGUAACACUUAAUUUCCCUUUUUAAAUAUUCCUUUGGAACCACGUUUAGUAAUUUGCUGGUGGAACUUAACAGUGAUAAUUCUUUGAAUCCAUUUUUCUUUUUCGUUUUUUGAGAUGGAGUCUCUCUCUGUAGCCCAGGUUGUAGUGCGGUGACUGAAUCCAGGCUCACUGCAACCUCCGCCUCCCGUGUUCAAGAGAUUCUCCUGCCUCACCCUUCCCAGUAGCUGAAAUUACAGGCACCUGCCACCACACCUGGCUAAUUUUUGUAUUUUUAGUACAGAUGGGGUUUUGCCAUUUUUGCCAGUCUGGUCUCGAACUCCUGACCUCAAGUGAUCCACCCACCUCGGCCUCCCAAAGUGCUGGGAUUACAGGCGUGAGCUACCGCGCCAGGCCUGAAUCCAUGUUAACAUUUAGUUUUCCAGAUUAACUCGAAGUACCCCACGACUAAACGCUAAUGAAACUAGAGGAGGCACAGCUUCAGCUCCGUGCAGGAUGGAUGCACAAGAGCAGAAUCUCCAUGGGACGCCUUUCUGGAGCAUCAGUAUUACUGCAGGAUUUGGAAGAAACAAAUUCAAAUAAUUUCCAAAGUAAGACACUGGAAAUUUAAGAGGAAGCUGGAAACUCAUCUGCCUUUAAUACUUUUUUUUCUCCAAGAAAAAAAAAGAAACUCUAAGGAGAACCUAUUUUUCACUCUUCUAAGUAGUUAAAAUUAGAAAUCACAGCAAGUCAAUAGAAAGCUCUGCCUUGCCAGUCUCCUAAAUCACAAUAUGGCCUUGGUCAAAGCAACCUAUAUGUCAUCAUACAAACUACAGGCUACGAUGAGCACCUCAUUUUCUUUCUGGAAGGCUGACCUUAAAUGUCCUGCACAUUCCUAUAGUGCAUAUUUACCCUUUUCCUAUACUAAGUAAGCCCUAAAUCUUGGCAGUAACAGCCUGGGGAACUACCUGUCUUGCUACCACUCAAGACCAUGCUUCUGUCCACAAAUUCCCCCCAAUAAAUUACCCUUUACUGACAAA
ensembl:lncRNA novel transcript